GAAGAGAGUAAUCUUGUUAGCAUGUUUAUAAGGCAACUCAAUUACGAGUUGUUAUAUAUAGGAAAGGGGAUUGUUUGGUUUGGGUUAUUAUUUUUUGUAUAUAUUUUUUAUUUAAGGCUUUUUAAGUGGACAACUUUGCCGGUUACCAGGGCUUCGGCUCGUAGCAGGAGUAGGAAUAUGGUGGUUUUUAGUCAGUAAAUCUGCACUCUUUCUCGCCUCACCUAAGGCGGGGAAGAAGUCAUUGGAUGAUAUGCCCCAUUCCAAAAUACGCACUAGUUUAAAAAAAUAUUGGUAAAACAAUCUAUCUACGAUAUUGAAUGACCCUAUAAUAUUCUUCUACAAAUUCACUGAGCGUAUUUCCUAAAUUAAGUGUUAUUGAUAAGAGUUUAAGAUAUUACUGUAAUGUUUAACCGUAACAUGGAGAAAUAUUAAAUUUGAUCAAUAUUUAUCUUAUCUACAGCUAUAUUUGUUCUGUCAUCUUCAACUUGCUUUAAUUAUUCAUUUAUUUAUUAAUGGGUAGCUAUUUAUACAUUAUUUACAGAUUAAAUCUACACUACACAGGUUCAGUGUCCCAUUUCUUGUCAACAAAUCCAAAAUGUUAAUAGGUUAAGAGAAUAAUAUCGAUAAACAACCAUUAAAGUUGAUUGAAUCUAUACUAAUAAACUACAAUUAACCCGGCGUCAUGGGGGUUGGGUCUGUGCGACCCACCACAUUUUAUUUCGCUUGUAGUUCGGUUACUAUGCGUGUGACGUUGCUGCUCUUCUCAAUAGCUGGAGCUGUUGAGUUGUCCUACGCGUCGCAAGCUACACGUUAGUCCUGCCAUGGCCGCAGUGGGAGAUACAGGUGCACAAAGUUAAAAAAGGUACUUAGUAAAAAUGGACCGUGAAGAGGCUGAACGACAGCGUAUUCUGGCAAUUUUACAAGAGUCUGACUCUGAUACUGAGUUGUCAGACCAGGAUGUGUGUGACGAAGAAGAUCACUUGAGGGAGCGUAGUAUUUCAAUUGACACAGAACAGGAUAUCUCAGAGUCUGAUAAUGAUGAUAUUCCACUGUCUAUUCGAUUGCAAUAUAUCUGCGUAGAACAUAUAGUACCUUUCUGUGCUGACUGUACCAAAGAUAAUGAUUCCAAAUGAUUAAUUGUUUAUUUUUUAAAUUUAUUUAGUUACCUACAAAAAAGUGCCAUUAAAUUUUAAGACUGAUUGUUAAUUAAUAAUAAUAUAAUUACAUUUAAGUAGAAGAGAAAAUUUUUGUUGAUAAUUUUAGUUCUUUUUUUUAAAUGUUAUUAUAUAUAAUUAAAACAUAAUAUAACAUAA